UCAGGACAUCUUUUGUGUGUGACCCCAUAGGUUCUAUUCUGUUUGAUAGUAAGAUAUAUUUUGAUCUUUAUCAAAAGUUAUUAAAUUUUAUUUUAAUGGAUUGAAAUAAUUUUAACUCAGCAAUCGAGAAUUAUUGAUCAUCAAAAUAAUUCUCGUUGGUCCCACAAUCCAUCAGUGACGCUUAGCAGCAUGUAGUGGCAAUCCAGUAGAUUACAGAAGGAAUGAACAUCUAGGUGUAGUUAUCAUAUGUUUCAGUUCUUCUAUCUUGAGUUUCGACAAGAUGGAGGUUAUGAAAAACUCGUCAAACCCCUUCGUCUGUCAUAUGUAAGAUUUAUUCAACUCGAGUUCAUUAGUGAAAUCUCAUGAAAACUCUUUUCCAUGAUUCACUCUGUCCUGAUUA
rnacentral:lncRNA from 1 species